rnacentral:rRNA from 1 species
AUUGAACGCUGGCGGCAUGCUUUACACAUGCAAGUCGAACGGUAACAGGCCGCAAGGUGCUGACGAGUGGCGAACGGGUGAGUAAUGCAUCGGAACGUGCCCAGUCGUGGGGGAUAACUAUCCGAAAGGAUAGCUAAUACCGCAUACGAUCUGCGGAUGAAAGCGGGGGACCUUCGGGCCUCACGCGAUUGGAGCGGCCGAUGUCAGAUUAGGUAGUUGGUGGGGUAAAGGCUCACCUAGCCAACGAUCUGGAGCUGGUCGGAGAGGACGACCAGCCACACUGGGACUGAGACACGGCCCAGACUCCUACGGGAGGCAGCAGUGGGGAAUUUUGGACAAUGGGCGCAAGCCUGAUCCAGCAAUGCCGCGUGCAGGAAGAAGGCCUUCGGGUUGUAAACUGCUUUUGUACGGAACGAAACGGCUUUGGUUAAUACCUGGGGCUAAUGACGGUACCGUAAGAAUAAGCACCGGCUAACUACGUGCCAGCAGCCGCCGUAA